rnacentral:rRNA from 1 species
GUCUACGGCCAUGCCACUCUAAACGUGCCCAAUUCUGGCUGAUCUCGGAAGCUAAGGCUGAUCUCGGAAGCUAAGCAGGGUCGGGCCUGGUUAGUACUUGGAUGGGAGACUACCUAGAAAGACCAGGUGCUGCAGGUG